rnacentral:rRNA from 1 species
UGGGGAAUAUUGGGCAAUGGGCGAAAGCCUGACCCAGCAACGCCGCGUGAAGGAAGAAGGCCUUCGGGUUGUAAACUUCUUUGAUCGGGGACGAAAGAAAUGACGGUACCCGAAAAACAAGCCACGGCUAACUACGUGCCAGCAGCCGCGGUCAUACGUAGGUGGCGAGCGUUAUCCGGAUUUACUGGGUGUAAAGGGCGUGUAGGCGGUUGUUCAAGUCGGAUGUGAAAUGCCCGGGCUUAACCCGGGCGCUGCAACCGAAACUGAGAAACUUGAGUACUGGAGAGGACAGCGGAAUUCCUAGUGUAGCGGUAAAAUGCGGAGAGAUUAGGAGGAACACCGGUGGCGAAGGCGGCUGUCUGGACAGUAACUGACGCUGAGGCGCGAAAGCGUGGGGAGCAAACA